ensembl:lncRNA POLR1HASP POLR1H antisense, pseudogene
AGAGAUGGAGACUAACGUCUUCCAAGGGAGAUUGCGUCUCCACUUUCACCCUGGUACUGAGAGGUUGAGCACAAAAUUGGAACGCAGUCGCGGGGUAUAUCCCCCUGAAAACCGUACGUUGCCAAAUAAUGAUUUCUUUGGAUUAGAGAACUACAACUCCCCUGGGUCCUGAGCCGGUAUUUCCCUUUUGCGGCUGCACCGUAGUUAAAAACAAAGCUAAGUGUUCUGGGACGUAUAGUUCUAGCGUUCCUUGGGUCCCGCUGGCGAGCGUGGGCUUUCUGCAGCUCGCAACCGGCCUCGUGCUUUGCGGACGGUUCACUGCGCUUGGAAAGGGAUUGGCCUGGGGUACAUCAUCUAAAGAUCCUAGGAUUGCUGCAGGUCAGCAGUCUCCACUGGAAAAAAAGAUCUUGGGAAGUAAGAAGUUACAGCUCAGUGCACCAUGAAGUUGAGACAGAGAUGGAGACAUCCCAGCACCACUUCUCUGGAACAGGAAAGGUGAUCGGGGAAGGAAUGUAGGUCAGUGUGGGGAACAGGGUCAUGGUGGACACGGGUGUGGGCUGGUCUCCCCACCACCUCACAUUAUGCCUAUAGGGACACAGACACAUUCAGAUGCCUUUGCAGAAAGAGAAGUCAGGGUUCUUGAAGUCACAAAGGGAAGGCAUGAACAAAUCUUGCCUCUCAGUCCCACACAAGGCAGCUGUCUCACACUAUAGAAAAAA